rnacentral:lncRNA from 1 species
AUUCCUCUCCUCGCGCUCUCCCUUGUCGCCACCCGCCAUGCCCACAACUCCGCGAGAACGCCCUGGCUGCUCUCCCCACGCUUGCCCACGCCGCAUCCUCUCCCUCCCCGGCGCCCCUACGUCGCGGCUCGCGGUGGCUCCCGCUGCCGCGCUCGCCACACGGAGUAGCGAGGGUGCUACUUACCACCUUACCGGCGUUGGAGACCGAGGUGGCGGCUUUGCCGGACAAGGGUGAUCCUCCGCGGGCGUCGCCGCCGCAAAGCAGAUGGACGCAGAGAGGAUGAAUGCCCUGGAACAGAUGUUCAAGCGACUGGCCCUCGCCGACGACACGCGCCUGAAGCCGGUGCUCGCCCACAUCCCUCCCCUGCAUCCUCACUUCGCUUACGUGUUCUGAUUAUCUGUAUGACGGCACAUCAAGUAGCACAUCAAGUAGGCCCCUUCUGUUCCAUCUCCCCAUCCACAUCUUCACUUUCGUGAUGUAGCAUAGAGGUCAGCACGCAUGCGGCUAGCUCCAAGAGGAUUGCAUCAGUUGGAGCUUCUUGUGUAUCGCAGUUCUCCACUUCGCAGCUCGCACUAACAUUGUCAUCUCUUGCGUCAUCGCGCAAACACCGUGUCCGUCGGUGCUGCCUUCCUAUAGCUUUUUGAUUCCCCGCCUCCCCCAUUCUUCUGCAAUACUCAUGUCCACGCCCACAUCCAUCUGCUCGCGCUGCUCUACUUAGCGCGGAUGCACUAUUGCGGUGUACGACCUUCACCACAGGGAUCUUAUCCCUGAUAUCCAUUAACGGUUAUGGGAAGAAAGGUUGGCUGGUGUGGACCAUGCACACAAGUUGCUCGAUCGAAUGUCCAACUGAUUUUUUGGGUUAUCACAUUCACAUAGCUUGCUUGCUGCAAACGACACUGUAACAAAUUUGUUUAGAUUGUAAAGCAGAGUAGGCUCAUGUGGAACCAUGUUGAUCGAAUAUCCCAAUAUUUUUUUGGCUAACAUAUUUGCAUAGCUAUACUGCAGGUCUGCAGCACAUCUAUUUAAAUUGUAAAGCAAGAUUGACUCAUAUGGGCCCUACGCGAAACUUGCUCGAUCGAAUACCCCAAAAGAUAAUUUUUAGCUAACACAUUUUCAUGGCUUGCUUAUUCAAUCCUCAUUACUACACCAGCCAUCCUUCCUAAUGUAUAUACCUUCACAUAUAUAUAUUAAAUGUUGCAGAUACAUAGUAACUCUAAUUGUGUUUUUGCAGCUCGCUAAUCGACCUCAUUUAGGAGUCAAUUUAUGAACCAAACGGCACCUUACUUCUUGGAAUUUUUAGGAGUCAAUUUAUACAGCCUGCAACUUCUAUCCAAAAACAGGUAUGCUUUACUAAUAAACCUAAUUUAACAUGCUUCUUCUCCAUAUUCUUCAACAAAUUACACAACUUAUGAAUUUUAUGCUUCUUCUCCAUAUUCUUCAACAAAUUACACAGCUUCUGAAUUUUUCGCCUGCGAUGCUUACCUGGAGAAAUGCACAAUCACCAUGUUUAUGUGGUUGGAAGACAGACCUUGGUCCAUUAUGAGUAGCAGUCCGAAAUGAUUUGUUUGGUAAAUACUUGGCCUUCAGAAUGGUGGGGAGGGAGAAUUUUUUGUUUGUUGCAAUGUUCUAAUCAGCUUAGGUGAUGAGGCUUUUGUUGAUAGUGUAAAGAUCUCUGGUGCCCAGACUCCCAUUCUGUUUCAACUGGCAGACGACUUCCUAAGAUCUGAAAACAAUAGAAGUAGGAUUGUAUUGCUAAACACCUUAGAAUUGAUCAUUUCGAUAUAUAAUCUACCUCUGGUUUUUAUGCAUGGCCACCGAAAGAGUUGCCACUCUUUAUCCUGAGAUCAAUAUCAUGUCUUCGUCGCCUGUUAAUCCAUUGCCAAUUCAAUGCUACAUUCACAUUUAAGCUAUCCUUAUUACUUUUGUCUUCUAUUUAGUGUUGUAUUACACAUGCCCUUUUGGUGAGCCUUAAAAUAAUAUAACAUGAUUUUGAGCAUUGCAGUUAAUGUCAUACUUUUUAUGAAAACUUACUCUAACUGCUUUAGACACUAGCUUGAUCUUAAUUUUACUAUGGAACAAGGCAUUCAUAGAUCAAUGGUGUCCUCUACAAUUUUAUUUGGAGACCCUAUUCUAUUUUGGUGGAUGGUAACUUGAUAUGCUCAUUGCAGGUUGCUCAAUUUGGUAAAGAGAAGACCGUUUUACGCACUGAGGUUGAUCGCGGUUUCACGUUUUAUGCACUGAGGUUGAUCGCGGUUUCACUGCAGAAAUAUUUAGCAUGCAUCCUAUGUCAUUUUGUCAGCUUUGUGACAAAGGUAGGUAAGUAAGCUUUGGACUAUACUGCAUGCCUUGCUUUCCUGUUGCAUGCGCACAACAACCAAGUGCUCAGAUGGCUGGAUCUGAAUGAAUGGCGUCCGACAGAAUUGGAUUCUUUCAUUUUUUUUCCAUUUGGUGCUGCCAGUCGGAUCUUAGUUUAAGCUAGGAUUAAUAUUUCAUUUUAUUUUCCCCAUUUGAUACAUGUGUUGCUCCUUUCUGGUGGCUGGCUCGGCCUGGCGCUGCACAACUGUGCCGGUAUGCAUAAUCAAGGCCGAUACUAUGAGUCCAGCAUGUUGUAGCAGUACACGGACCCACAAUCCACGAGGAGAUGCAAUGCAGCAGUAUCUCCUUUCUGUUGCUCCCCACCUCCCCACCUCCACUCCCACUGAGCUUUCUAAUUGUGCAGUCCAACUCUUAGGUAAGUUUAGAGAUAAUGUUUUAAUUUCCAUAGAAAUUAUGAUCGUAUGUUGCUGUUGCAUCAUCUAUUAAUGUUUAUAUUCUAAUUGUCGAAUACAUAUCAAGUUGCAUGGUAAAAUAUGUACGUUCAUAUUUGUAUUUAGGUCAACUCAAUUAGUUAUAUGUACUCUACUAGCUUGGUCCUCCCAUCUGUUCAUACAUCUGUUCAUUGACCACCUUCUUUUCAAUCUUUGGUGGCAGCCUGUACUCUACUAGCUUGGUCCUCCCAUCAACCAUGUUAAUUCCCAGGCGCCUCUUGGGAGGUGGGGUUGGGAGCUUCUUAUGGUUUGCAUUGGAUGGAUGAAGCAACACUAACUCCUCUUCCCGGUUGGUGGCGUCAUGUAUUCUGCUACUUUAAACCAUAUCACAUUGACGCAUCCCCUACCACCAUUCUUAUAUGUCAAAAACAGGAAUUCGCCUCCAUACAUAUUAAAUUUAUAGUCUAGAUUUUUACUCUGUAGACGACUUAAUCAUAUGUGGACUAUUAAUAAUGCUGUGUGAUGGCGAUUGUUUAAUAACCCGUAUUGUUGUGCAUGAGAAGUUAUAAUUUUCCAAAAUGUUCGUUUGCAUGCAGAGUAGUGCCUCUUAUCAAUUUUGUAAUUUACAAUUAGGUAAUUCUUUAGUAUUUCUUAAAUAAAAAACGCCUUAUGGGUUACAUAUUGCAG